AGUCAUAUGCUUGUGUCAAAGAUUAAGCCAUGCAUGUCUAAGUAUAAGCACAACUAUACAGCGAAACUGCGAAAGGCUCAUUAUAUCAGUUAUAGAUUACAUGAUUGUAUCCGCUUACUACUUGGAUAACCGUAGUAAUUCUAGAGCUAAUACAUGCGCGAAGGGCCCGACUCUUGCGGGAGGGCUGCAUUUAUUAGAUACAAGGCCAAUCUGCCCUCUGGGCAGUGGAGGUGAAUCAUAAUAACUGAGCGAAUCGUGGGCGUACGCCGACGAUGGAUCAUUCAUAUUUCUGCCCUAUCAAUGCUUUCGAUGGUAGAGUAGUGGUUUACCAUGGCGGCAACGGGUAACGGGGAAUCAGGGUUUGACUCCGGAGAGGGAGCCUGAGAAACGGCUACCACUUCUAAGGAAGGCAGCAGGCGCGCAAAUUACCCAAUGCUGACUCAGCGAGGUAGUGACAAUAAAUAACAAGCCCUGGCCCUCUGGGUCGGGGCAUUGCAAUGAGUACAAUGUAAAGACCUUAACGAGGAUCAAUUGGAGGGCAAGUCUUGGUGCCAGCAGCCGCGGUAAUUCCAGCUCCAAUAGUGUAUAUUAAAGUUGCUGCAGUUAAAACGCUCGUCGUCGGAGAGUGGGAUGUGGGGGCGGGGCCCCGCCUUGGCAGGGGUAAAAGCCUGCAGGGGCGGUGGCCGUGUUCGCGCCCAGCCCAGCUAUUCCGGCGCCUGUGGUCUGUGCUCGCAAGGGCGCAGGCUGCACCAGGGCGCCGGACGUUUACCUUGAGAAAAUUAGAGUGUUCAAAGCAGGCAGUGUCGCUUGAAUAGAUUAGCAUGGAAUAAUGGAAUAGGACCGUCGGUUCUGUUGCGUUGGCUUUGCGGGGCCGGGGUAAUGAUUAAUAGGAACAGUUGGGGGCAUUUGUACUGGAGGGUUAGAGGUGAAAUUCUUGGAUCCCUUCAAGACAGCCGGAUGCGAAAGCGUUUGCCCAGCAUGUGUCCAUUGAUUUAGAACGAAAGCCAGGGGAGCAAAAUUGAUUAGAUACCAACGUAGUCCUGUGCUGUAAACGAUGCCGACCGGGGAUGGGCUCGCCUGCGCGGCGGGUCCGGACUCUGCGAGAAAUCACAAGUGUUUGGGUUCCGGGGGGAGUAUGGUCGCAAGGCUGAAACUUAAAGGAAUUGACGGAAGGGCACCACCAGGAGUGGAGCCUGCGGCUUAAUUUGACUCAACACGGGGAAACUCACCAGGUCCAGACAUGGGAAGGAUUGACAGAUUGAUAGCGCUUUCUUGAUUCUAUGGGUGGUGGUGCAUGGCCGUUCUUAGUUCGUGGAUUCAUUUGUCUGGUUAAUUCCGAUAACGAACGAGACCUUGGUGGUUAACUAGCCGCGGCUGCCUUGCGGCAGGGCGCGCGCUUCUUAGCCAGACUGCCGGCGCCAAGCCGGAGGAAGUUCGAGGCAAUAACAGGUCUGUGAUGCCCUUAGAUGUUCUGGGCCGCACGCGCGCUACACUGACGGGGCCAGCGAGUACAUGGCUCUUUUUAAGAGCCGCUCCUAGCCUGAGAAGGCCGGGUAAUCUUGGCAACCCCCGUCGUGCUGGGGAUAGCCCUUUGCAAUUAUCGGGCUUGAACGAGGAAUUCCUAGUAAUCGCAAGUCAUCAGCUUGCGAUGAUUACGUCCCUGCCCUUUGUACACACCGCCCGUCGCUACUACCGAUUGAACGGCUUAGUGAGUCCUUUGGACCUGGCCUGGGCACGCCUUUGCGGGCUGCCUGGCCUUGGGGAAGACUGGCAAACUUGGUCGUUUAGAGGAAGUAAAAGUCGUAACAAGGUCAUCGUAGGUGAACCUGCGGUGGGAUCAUUUGAGGAAUCUUUUUUGGGGGGCGGGGUCUGGAAGGGCUCUGCCUCUAUCUUGUGGGGAGUGGGUAAAGGAUUGUGGGUGCCUCCUUUCUUUGUGGAGGGGGCGCCCAUUAUUUGGUUGACAUUGAGGGAUGGAUCUUGGCUGACGCAUUAGAGACAAAGCAGUAUAACGCAUACAACUAUACAUGGUGGAUCACUUGGCUCUCGCAUCGAUGAAGAACGCAGCGAAUUGCGAAAAGUAUCGUGACUUGCACCCGCGUGAAUCAUUGAGUUUUCGAACGCAUCUUGCGCCUGUCGUUUGUGGCAGGUAUGUCUGUUUGAGCGCCAUUCAACACUCCACGACUCUCUCUUUGUAUUCAGAGAGGGGCGGAUUGAUGAGCGUUCCCCUUUUCCUUGAGAGAGAGAGAGGGGUCGCUUUAAACAUCGGGGCCUUUAGACUCUUGAUAGUCUGGAGGGCUGCCCUCGGCUUGCCGGCGUUGACCGGCCCGACUGCUCUCUGAGCGCCGAGACCACAGAUCACUGGUUGGACGUCAGUCUAUACACUUGUCUGCGGUCGCUUGAGGCGCCUGGAGGGCUACUGGGCUGCGAGCGGGCUCUGCCGACCAGGGCGUGUGCCGUCUGUGCCCCUUGGCUGUGAAACCACACAAUAAACUGUGGCCUCAAAUCAGGCAAGACUACCCGCUGAACUUAAGCAUAUCAAUAAGCGGAGGAAAAGAAACUAACUAGGAUUCCCCCAGUAGCGGCGAGCGAAGCGGGAAGAGCCCAAGGCCGGAAUCGCCCCUCUUGACAAAGGGGGGCGAGUUGUAGCCUAUGGACCGCUCGGUCGGACCAGGCCCCAGCAGAGCAAGUCCCUUGGAAUAGGGCGCCAGAGAGGGUGACAGCCCCGUCUCUCUGCCGGGCAGGGCCCAUAUGACGAGCGCGUCCGAGAGUCGGGUUGUUUGGGAAUGCAGCCCGAAGCGGGAGGUAAGCGCCUUCCAAGGCUAAAUAUUCAGGCGAGAGACCGAUAGCAAACAAGUACUGUGAAGGAAAGUUGAAAAGCACUCUGGAGAGAGAGUGAAAAGAGCGUGAAACCAUGUGUAGGGAACCGCUUGCACGGUGCACUGUCCCCCGCUUCUUUCGAGGGGCGGGGGCGCCCAGCACCAGUUUCGGCCGCCGUAAAAGCCGCGCGGAAAGGUAGGGCCCGGCUCUGCCGGGUCUGUUAUAGACCGCGCGGCGCUGCGGUGGCGGGGGACUGAGGACAGCGGCCGCCUGCAGAGGGCGCCGGCUGCGCGGCGAUGCGGGGCGGGGCCGUGCGUGGACAGCUUGCUGACCGCGUGCGCGCUCUGUCUGCAGCGCCGCGCUGCCUGGUACACGGCCACGGGCUU
rnacentral:rRNA from 1 species